rnacentral:tRNA from 1 species
GGUCCGUUCGUCUAGUCUGGUCAGGACGCCAGGUUUUCAUCCUGGUAACAGGGGUUCGAAUCCCCUACGGACUA